rnacentral:rRNA from 1 species
UACGUAGGGGGCAAGCGUUGUCCGGAUUUAUUGGGCGUAAAGAGCGUGUAGGCGGCCAGGUAGGUCCGUUGUGAAAACUCGAGGCUCAACCUCGAGACGCCGAUGGAAACCAUCUGGCUAGAGUCCGGAAGAGGAGAGUGGAAUUCCUGGUGUAGCGGUGAAAUGCGCAGAUAUCAGGAGGAACACCAAUAGCGAAGGCAGCUCGCUGGGACGGUACUGACGCUGAGGCGCGAAAGCGUGGGGAGCGAACAGG